CGCCACAUCAUUGGAAACCACUUCCAGGAUUGUGAAAUCUGCACAUGAAAAACGAGUUCCACUGGCAGACAACACAGUCAAGCCGUCCGGGCUGGGCGCACACGUUCGCCCUGUCGCUUGCUGGAGUGGGGCCACCACCGCAGGCCGCGGCCUUCCUCUUGAUUUCUUUGUCCUGCCGUCUCAGGGCAGGUCACCCAGGGGAGGAAGCUGCACCCUAGUCAGCCGCAGCAGCUGGCCCCAGCGCCCCUGGGGGCCCGGCCGCCUCGGAGGCCUCGACGGCUGCCCGGAGCCAGCAUGCGCCCCACCACGGGCGCCCCCUGGACACGGCCAGGGCAGGAGCUCCAGCGACUCCGGAGAGACCCAUUCAGACACCAGCUGACCAGAUAAGCGCCUCAGGGGGUCAGCUGUGCUGCGCCCUGCAAACAAGCCAGCUGAGUGGCUGCUGAAAAACAGCAUGUCACCAGGAGCCUUCCUCUCCCACUGUCAAAUUUUAUUCUGCCUUAACCACGUGUCUGAGGCACCUGGAUAAUACCCUGAGCCACACAAAACCUGUUAGUUCCAGAGCUCUCUCCGGAACCAGAGGAAAGAAGACCCAAACUGCUUCUGGAAGCCUGGUGAUCGGCCUGUGAACCACAGAGGCUCACACUCUGACGAGGAGAACUCCCUUCAGCCGCUGCAGUGACCUCAACAGUGAGGACGCUCUCGGAGUCCAAGGCCGCUUUCCCGUGUUCCUCCCUCCGGCUCCUCCGGCCCUAACGGCCCCCACACCCACAGUAGCAUUCUAGCUCAUAAAGCUUCCAUAAGGUCUUCCUUCGGCCAGGAAGUUGGGGACCAUUUUCUAAGGAUAUUCUUAGACCCCUGAUAAUCUGAAUUUAGGACAUGACCCCAAGACGUUCCCAUCAGUAGGGACUGUGAAUAGUGUAGGGACUCUCAGAGCUAGAAGAUAACACAUCGCGCACUAAAAGAUGUUAUAAACUCUUCCAGGGGCGCUUUCCAAACUACAGAGGACUUCCGCGUGCAGAGGGGGAUGUCCGCUCUACCGAGGACGGCCCCCAAGACUCAGAUUUGGAUGUGCCUCUGGGGUGGCACCACCUGCUUUCCUUGAGAAUCACUUCCCUGGUGAAGCCUAGAAGUUCAGUGGCGUGUGCUGAGGUGGAAUGACAGGUUCAGAACCCCUCUACUAGAAGAUCACUAGCCACACUACAAAGCUAGAUAACGAAAAUAAGUUAGUAAUAUCUCUCCAUUUAUCACGCCACCCACGCUAACCAAAAUACUUUGAUUAAAGAUAAUCUAGAUAUUAAGUUAAAACCACCCAAAAAAAAACCCAUAAUCAAUAAUGAUGUUCUGAUAUGACGAAAAUGCCCUGUUUCAAUCCUUAAAUAUAGGGGAAAUUAGCUCGUAUUCAUGGAGCCUAGAAACUUAACAUGAAUUUGUAUGAUGAAUAAAAAGACCAUUUUGCUAGACUCCA
rnacentral:lncRNA from 1 species